GAUGAACGCUGGCGGCGUGCCUAAUACAUGCAAGUCGAGCGAACGGACGAGAAGCUUGCUUCUCUGAUGUUAGCGGCGGACGGGUGAGUAACACGUGGAUAACCUCCCUAUAAGACUGGGAUAACUUCGGGAAACCGGAGCUAAUACCGGAUAAUAUUUUGAACCGCAUGGUUCAAAAGUGAAAGACGGUUUUGCUGUCACUUAUAGAUGGAUCCGCGCUGCAUUAGCUAGUUGGUAAGGUAACGGCUUACCAAGGCAACGAUGCAUAGCCGACCUGAGAGGGUGAUCGGCCACACUGGAACUGAGACACGGUCCAGACUCCUACGGGAGGCAGCAGUAGGGAAUCUUCCGCAAUGGGCGAAAGCCUGACGGAGCAACGCCGCGUGAGUGAUGAAGGUCUUCGGAUCGUAAAACUCUGUUAUUAGGGAAGAACAUAUGUGUAAGUAACUGUGCACAUCUUGACGGUACCUAAUCAGAAAGCCACGGCUAACUACGUG
rnacentral:rRNA from 1 species